ensembl:misc_RNA
UUCUCAUACUGAUGGAGUAGGUGAUGAAGUGGGUUCCCAACUGUAGCUACUUCACUCAGCGCAGAAUGACUGCAGGGGAUAUAUUCAGACAUGCCCAAAGAAGUCUGCCCAGGGUGAAACAAAUACCUUUGAGGU